UACUCGAGUGGCGAACGGGUGAGUAACACGUGGGUGAUCUGCCCUGCACUUCGGGAUAAGCUUGGGAAACUGGGUCUAAUACCGGAUAGGAGCCAUCUUUAGUGUGGUGGUUGGAAAGUUUUUUCGGUGUAGGAUGAGCUCGCGGCCUAUCAGCUUGUUGGUGGGGUAAUGGCCUACCAAGGCGGCGACGGGUAGCCGGCCUGAGAGGGUUGACGGCCACAUUGGGACUGAGAUACGGCCCAG
rnacentral:rRNA from 1 species